rnacentral:rRNA from 1 species
CGGCGGACGGGUGAGUAACGCGUGGGUAACCUGCCUCAUACAGGGGGAUAACAGUUAGAAAUGGCUGCUAAUACCGCAUAAGACCACAGUACUGCAUGGUACAGUGGUAAAAACUCCGGUGGUAUGAGAUGGACCCGCGUCUGAUUAGGUAGUUGGUGAGGUAACGGCCCACCAAGCCGACGAUCAGUAGCCGACCUGAGAGGGUGACCGGCCACAUUGGGACUGAGACACGGCCCAG